rnacentral:rRNA from 1 species
UAAAUUUUAUUUAUUAAUUUUAUUUAUUUAAGUAUUAUAUUUAAUAAAAAUAAUUUUAAUUCAAUAUAGUUUUAGUAUUUUUUAAAGAAAUAAUAAUUUUAAUAAUAGUUUAUUUGUAUUGUAAAAGAAGAUUGAAAUAAUUUGAAAAAUUUUURUUUUAAAAGAAAAUUUAAUUUAUUGUACCUUGUGUAUCAGGGUUUAUUAAUUAAUUAAUUAUUAUAGUAAUUUUUCUCGAAUUUUAAAGAUUUAAUUAUAUAUAAAAGUUAUUGUGGAAUAAUUAUUUUUAAUAUAUAAUUAGAAAUGAAAUGUUAAUCGUUUUAAAAUAUAUCUAGUUUUUUAAGAAAUAAAUUUAAUUUAGAUUUAUAAAUUAAAAGUAUUAUUUAUUUAAUAUUUUUAAUUUAUAAAAUUAAUAUUUUAAGGGAUUAGCUUUAAAAUAAAUUUUUAAAUUUUAAAAAAGUAUUUAAUAAAUGUAAGCUUAAAAAUAGUUAUCAUUAAUAAAUUUGUUAUAAUUUAUUUUAAAUUUUUUAUUAUUUAUUAUAAAAUUAAAUUAUUUAUUAAAAUAUAAAUUUUAAUAUUAAUGAUUUAUAAAUUAUGGUAAAAUUAGUAUAUUUAAUUUAUAUAAAUUAUUUAAAUUGAGAGGUUUAAAUAAGGAAUUCGGCAAAUUAUAUAUUCACCUGUUUAUCAAAAACAUGUCUUUUUGUAUUUAAUUUAAAGUCUAACCUGCCCACUGAUAGAUAUUAAAGGGCCGCAGUAUUUUGACUGUGCGAAGGUAGCAUAAUCAGUAGUCUUUUAAUUGAAGGCUUGUAUGAAUGGUUGAAUGAGAUAUAUACUGUCUUUUUUAAA